rnacentral:lncRNA from 1 species
GGUAACAGCAGAUCGACUGUACUACUAAAAGACAUCGUUCAAGCAGCAAGACAUCCCUCUAUCUGGCGACAAAAACAUCCCUUUUCUGAGGAGAAAGAAGAAGACUCUCGCGCCAUGGUCUGACUGCUGAUCAAAGCCAGCAUCUGGACGGUGAGGAAGAUUCGGGCCCACAUUGCUGAGGGAGAGCAAGAGGAGAAGCCCAUCUUCACACCAUGUGGUGUUAUUGGCUUUAAGAAGGAGCAGUUGACGUCAGGUUCUGAUCCACCGGCGGCCAUAAUGACCCCUGAACCUGAUGAUGGUAUCGCUAUCGGCGGCCAGGCGCCGACGACCGAGACAGCCGUGCAGAAGUGCGGAUCCUGAGGUUAAAGAUGACCCUUGUGGCUGCAGCGUGUGACGGCCUGCUCACCAACCCCUCCAACCAGGGACUGAGCUGUUCUGAUGCCCCUGCUGCAGCUUCCCCAAUAAAAACUUUUAAAAACUA